UACGUAGGGUGCAAGCGUUAAUCGGAAUUACUGGGCGUAAAGCGUGCGCAGGCGGUUCUAUAAGACAGAUGUGAAAUCCCCGGGCUCAACCUGGGAACUGCAUUUGUGACUGUAGAGCUGGAGUACGGUAGAGGGGGAUGGAAUUCCGCGUGUAGCAGUGAAAUGCGUAGAUAUCAGGAGGAACACCUAUAGCGAAGGCAGCUCGCUGGGACGACACUGACGCUGAGACGCGAAAGCGUGGGGAGCGAACAGG
rnacentral:rRNA from 1 species